UUUAACAUAAUUUGUUUGUUCUAGUAUGCUUCUGUACCAUAAAAUUAUUUUUGUGUAUUUUAGUAUGCUUUUACCGUCGCAAAAUUAAUUACCUAUGAUUUUUUUUUCUAGUUAUCAUAGUGAUUUACCAAACAGCAGAUGAAAACAAGUAUGCAAAAAACCAUUAUUUUAACAUCUUCACAAUAUCAAUUGCUUCGGCCAAUAAUUUGGAUUUGUAAAUGUUUUUGUAUUUUACCUUUUACAAUUAAAAAAUCUGAUAACGUCUGGUGGAUUUAUUCGUCAUGGUGGAGCGUCGUUACUGGGGCGAUUGGAGUUAUAACAAUAGGUACAUUAAUUUUAUAUGGGAUCUACACUAAAUAUAAUAUGGACGUAGUUUUCAAAUUAAAAUCGAAUAGUAUUGGGACUAAACUUGUUAAUGGUGCUAGUAUUUCUACACUUAUGACAACAUUUCUUAUAUGUUAUUUAUCUUCGAUUAUAAAUUUUAAAUAUUUACUAGAAUAUUUUGUGCAAUUGAGU
rnacentral:lncRNA from 1 species